rnacentral:rRNA from 1 species
GUGGGGAAUCUUGCGCAAUGGGCGAAAGCCUGACGCAGCCAUGCCGCGUGAAUGAUGAAGGUCUUAGGAUUGUAAAAUUCUUUCACCGGGGACGAUAAUGACGGUACCCGGAGAAGAAGCACCGGCUAACUUCGUGCCAGCAGCCGCGGUAAUACGAAGGGGGCUAGCGUUGCUCGGAAUUACUGGGCGUAAAGGGCGCGUAGGCGGACAGCUUAGUCAGAGGUGAAAGCCCAGGGCUCAACCUUGGAAUUGCCUUUGAUACUGGCUGUCUUGAGUUUGGGAGAGGUGAGUGGAACUCCGAGUGUAGAGGUGAAAUUCGUAGAUAUUCGGAAGAACACCAGUGGCGAAGGCGACUCACUGGCCCAAUACUGACGCUGAGGCGCGAAAGCGUGGGGAGCAAACAGGAUUAGAUACCCCAGUAGUCC